GACGAACGCUGGCGGCGUGCUUAACACAUGCAAGUCGAACGGAAAGGCCCUGCUUUUGUGGGGUGCUCGAGUGGCGAACGGGUGAGUAACACGUGAGUAACCUGCCCUUGACUUUGGGAUAACUUCAGGAAACUGGGGCUAAUACCGGAUAGGAGCUCCUGCUGCAUGGUGGGGGUUGGAAAGUUUCGGCGGUUGGGGAUGGACUCGCGGCUUAUCAGCUUGUUGGUGGGGUAGUGGCUUACCAAGGCUUUGACGGGUAGCCGGCCUGAGAGGGUGGCCGGCGACGUGAGGACUGAGGGAGGGCGCAGUGUCGUACGGGAGGCAGCGGUGGGGAGUAUUGCACAAUGAGGGGAAGCGUAAUACGACGGCGCCAGGUGGGGAAUGGGGGCCUACAAGGAGUGAACCGCUUUCGCCUAUGACAAGGCGUGAGUGACGGUAAUGGGUAAAGAAGCACCGGCUAACUACGUG
rnacentral:rRNA from 1 species